rnacentral:rRNA from 1 species
CUCAGUAACACGUGGAUAAUCUGCCCUUAGGUGGAGGAUAAUCUCGGGAAACUGAGGAUAAUACUCCAUAGAUCUAGAAUGCUGGAAUGCAUCUAGAUUGAAAGCUCCGGCGCCUAAGGAUGAGUCUGCGGACUAUCAGGUUGUAGUCAGGGUAAAGACCUGACUAGCCUACGACGGAUACGGGUUGUGAGAGCAAUAACCCGGAGACGAUAUCUGAGACACGAUAUCGGGCCCUACGGGGCGCAGCAGGCGCGAAAACUUCACACUGUGCGAAAGCGCGAUGAGGGAAUCCCAAGUGUUUGCUCGUAAGAGUAAACUGUUUCUUUGUUUAAAACGCAGAGAGAGUAAGGGCUGGGUAAGACGGGUGCCAGCCGCCGCGGUAAUACCUGCAGCUCAAGUGGUGAUCAUUAUUAUUGGGCCUAAAACGUCCGUAGCCGGUUUAGUAAAUGCCUGGGUAAAUCGUGUAGCUUAACUAUACGACUUCCGGGUAGACUGCUAAACUUGAGACCGGGAGAGGCUAGAGGUACUCCUGGGGUAGAGGUGAAAUUCUGUAAUCCUAGGGGGACCACCAGUGGCGAAGGCGUCUAGCUAGAACGGGUCUGACGGUGAGGGACGAAGCCCUGGGGCACAAACCGGAUUAGAUACCCGGGUAGUCCAGGGUGUAAACGCUGCUUGCUUGAUGUUAGUUGGGCUCCGAGCCCAACUAGUGUCGGAGAGAAGUUGUUAAGCAAGCUGCCUGGGAAGUACGGUCGCAAGGCUGAAACUAAAG